GAUGCAACGCGAAGAACCUUACCUACUCUUGACAUCCAGAGAACUUAGCAGAGAUGCUUUGGUGCCUUCGGGAACUCUGAGACAGGUGCUGCAUGGCUGUCGUCAGCUCGUGUUGUGAAAUGUUGGGUUAAGUCCCGCAACGAGCGCAACCCUUAUCCUUUGUUGCCAGCGGUCCGGCCGGGAACUCAAAGGAGACUGCCAGUGAUAAACUGGAGGAAGGUGGGGAUGACGUCAAGUCAUCAUGGCCCUUACGAGUAGGGCUACACACGUGCUACAAUGGCAUAUACAAAGAGAAGCGACCUCGCGAGAGCAAGCGGACCUCAUAAAGUAUGUCGUAGUCCGGAUUGGAGUCUGCAACUCGACUCCAUGAAGUCGGAAUCGCUAGUAAUCGUGGAUCAGAAUGCCACGGUGAAUACGUUCCCGGGCCUUGUACACAC
rnacentral:rRNA from 1 species